CCUGGUUUUUGCCAUCAGCGAGGUAUAGAGUUCCUACGUUAAAUUUAAAUACUCAUAGGAACUUCAUACCGUGCUCUUGGAAGACCAAAACAC
rnacentral:pre_miRNA from 13 species